rnacentral:rRNA from 1 species
AAGUCGAGGGGCAGCAUAGAAGUAGCAAUACUUUGGUGGCGACCGGCGCACGGGUGAGUAACGCGUAUGCAACCUACCUAUCAGAGGGGAAUAACCCGGCGAAAGUCGGACUAAUACCGCAUAAAACAGGGGCACCGCAUGGUGAUAUUUGUUAAAGAAAUUCGCUGAUAGAUGGGCAUGCGUUCCAUUAGGUAGUUGGUGAGGUAACGGCUCACCAAGCCGACGAUGGAUAGGGGAACUGAGAGGUUGGUCCCCCACACUGGUACUGAGACACGGACCAGACUCCUACGGGAGGCAGCAGUGAGGAAUAUUGGUCAAUGGGCGGGAGCCUGAACCAGCCAAGUCGCGUGAAGGAAGAAGGAUCUAUGGUUCGUAAACUUCUUUUGCAGGGGAAUAAAGUGCAGGACGUGUCCUGUUUUGUAUGUACCCUGAGAAUAAGGAUCGGCUAACUCCGUGCCAGCAGCCGCGGUAAUACGGAGGAUCCGAGCGUUAUCCGGAUUUAUUGGGUUUAAAGGGUGCGUAGGUGGUUUGAUAAGUCAGCGGUGAAAGUUUGCAGCUUAACUGUAAAAAUGCCGUUGAAACUGUCGGACUUGAGUGUAAAUGAGGUAGGCGGAAUGCGUGGUGUAGCGGUGAAAUGCAUAGAUAUCACGCAGAACUCCGAUUGCGAAGGCAGCUUACUAAGCUACAACUGACACUGAAGCACGAAAGCGUGGGGAUCAAACAGGAUUAGAUACCCUGGUAGUCCACGCAGUAAACGAUGAUUACUAGCUGUUUGCGAUACACAGUAAGCGGCACAGCGAAAGCGUUAAGUAAUCCACCUG